UUUUAAUGACAGCAUGGUGAGAGCCUGCUGUCCCAGGACCACCCCUGGACCUGUUAAGGGCAAAAUUUUGAGCUGUACAUACAUCCCGGAAAGUAGAAGGGGAAGGUGCAAGGAGGCCUAUGUGCUCACCAUGACGAAUCAUUCGAAACACUGCAUCAAAGUGGACAGCAAGUGGAUGAUUUCAAAGCUGGAAGAGUUAAAGAACAGUGGGAAACCGUGUGAGAACACAUACUAGAGCAUCAGCUCAAGGAGGAAGAGUGUGGAGUCUGGCCAAAGCUGUUCUUCAAACCUUCAAACCACCAACAACGCCCACAAAACACUGAGGAUCCCCAUUAAUGCCAGCAUGAACUUGAACUCUACAUAAUAGCAGAGGAUUUAUAUUUUUGUAUCAUCUACAGUUUCUUAAGCUUUUCAUUUAUUUAUGCAUACACUUUUUUAAAAAGAUGUUUUUAAGGGUUCUUUAGUGAUGACAAUGGUUCUAUACAGAACCAUGAACACUCAAAGAACCAUCUGUAUGCUCUAAUGGUUGUCUGCGUGGUGAGAUCAUUUUUCAGACUGAAGGAGAACGUGUUGUGUACGGUUCUAUAAAGCACCAAAAAAGAUGUUCUUCUAUCUUUACAAGCUUAACAUCACAAUAACAGAAGAAUAUUUUUUGGUGCUCUAUAGAACCAUAUACAACACAUUCUCCAUCAAUCUGAAGAACCAUUUCACCAUGCAAGAAACCAUUAAACAUGCUUCUUCUUUAAGACUUCGCUGGGACAGGGCCAUGUUUACCACUG